UACGAAGGGGGGCUAGCGUUGUUCGGAAUUACUGGGCGUAAAGCGCACGUAGGCGGAUUUGUAAGUCAGGGGUGAAAUCCCGGGGCUCAACCUCGGAACUGCCUUUGAUACUGCAAGUCUUGAGUCCGAUAGAGGUGAGUGGAAUUCCGAGUGUAGAGGUGAAAUUCGUAGAUAUUCGGAAGAACACCAGUGGCGAAGGCGACUCACUGGACAUGUAUUGACGCUGAGGUGCGAAAGCGUGGGGAGCAAACAGG
rnacentral:rRNA from 1 species